ACCAAAUAUGUUACUGCCCAGAAAGUAGAAUGAUGCAUUUCACAAUUACAUUUUGACUUCUCUCUGCCAGAAAGCACCAAGUAUUACGCAUUCCAGUAUCAUCACAGUAUAGUCUGAUAGCUUCCUGUUUAAUAUAUUUAACCCCUUAAGGACCAAACUUCUGGAAUAAAAGGGAAUCAUGACAUGUCACACAUGUCAUGUGUCCUUAAGGGGUUAAAGCAGUUCAUGAAUACAGACAAAAAUCUUCAAAUUGCCAAACAAGAAAGCAACAAAAUAUUUUAGAUAUAUU